CAGUUCCGCUCCAAUGUUGACAUGGGAAAAUAACUUUGUUUUUACCGCUCUGCUACAUAUCGGCAUUAAUUAGGUGGAACCUGGUACGUUGAAGUCGCUAAUUUUCUGUCCUCGUUUGUUGCUGCAUAAAAACUAUGCCAUAAAUGUAGCCUUUUCUCUGUUGCAGAGGGAUUUUUUUUCCAUUUAAGAUGUGUUUUUAUUGUCAACGGAACGGGUAUGGGUGGAAAAAAAAAUCUAAGCAACCCCUGCUUACGAGAUUCCCCUGACUAGCUGUGAAAAUGAGCUGGAAAUCACUUUAGACAUGGAUGCGCAGUGCAACCGGGAAGAACUGCCCCAUGGAUGGAUUAGAGAAGUGAAGCAGCGUAAAGCUGGAAAGACUGCAGGAAAACUGGACGUGUACGUAAUAAGUCCCAGUGGGCAGAAGUUCAGGUCUAAAGCCUCCCUGCAUGCUUAUCUAUUAAAAAAUGGAGGGGAGAACGCGGACAAAAACCUGUUUGAUUUCACCCUUUCCAAAUACAACUUCACUUGCUCUGAAACAGAUCAUUUCAAAGGAAAGCAAAGGAGACAGAAGAAAAAUCAAGCCGAUGGACAGCAGGAGAAAGUGGAUGGAAAGGUGAAAUCUCCCAAACAGAAAUCUAAAAGAGCCUCUUCCUCUAGCAGGUGCGAGACAGGUGACAGGAAGGUAAAGCCUGCUGAGGAGGCUGUUAAUAGUAAUAUUUUGCAAACGACUUUAGAGAACAUAACAGAGGAGACUGAGCAGAAUUGCUCACAAGCUGCACCUUCAUCAUACUCGGUGGAUAACGAUGAUGCGAACGAGAGCCCUCGGAGAGUGGGGCUGCUGAGGGAGAAAAUACUGAGACUGGCUCCUUCCAGUGAUCAACGCGACACCUUUCCUGCUCAGAGGAAUCGUGAGGCAAACUCGCAGCCUUUAGUCUUAACCCCGAGUGUUGAAGCCGCCGCUGACAGCGAAAACGAAAGUGAGAAUGCGGCAGACACAGAUGUUGGACAGCAUCACAGCAAAGGUGGCAACAAGUCUAAUUCUGAGGCAGUGGGUAACGCUGACAGGCAUGAAGAGGAGGAGGUGCAACCUGACAGCUGUGGCGGAAGCUGCACACCAGUUAGAGGGUCCCAAAAUAGAUCCAAGAAUUUGGCGAGCAAACGGAAAACAAGCCCUUAUUUCAGCAGGAAGCCACUAAAAGACGGACUCAGCCCACCCAGGAGGAAAGCGCUCAGAAAAUGGACACCUCCCCGGUCUCCCUUUAACCUCAUACAGGAAACCCUUUUCCAUGACCCCUGGAAGCUUCUGGUGGCCACUAUUUUUCUGAACAAGACAAGCGGCAAGAUGGCCAUUCCGGUGCUUUGGCAGUUCUUUGAGCGUUACCCGUCCGCAGAGGUGACCCGGGAGGCCGACUGGAAGCCCAUGUCUGAACUCAUGAAGCCGCUUGGCCUCUACGAGCUCAGAGCCAAAUCGAUCAUCCGCUUCUCAGACGAGUAUCUGAAUAAACCGUGGCGUUACCCCAUCGAGUUGCACGGCAUCGGCAAGUACGGGAACGACUCUUACAGGAUCUUCUGCGUUGAAGAGUGGAGACAGGUGACACCUGAAGAUCACAAGUUAAACAAAUACCACGCCUGGCUGUGGGAGAACCAUGAAACGUUGGGAAUCUGAAGAAUGAGCGACCUCGAGAAAGACUUUAUCUCCGCUUUGCUACAUAAACACAGACAUUAUCUAAGCAACAAGCAUAUCACAGUUAUGAACUUGCACUUCUGAAUAUGUAAAGAUCACAUCUGGAAAUGUUCUCUAUGGUUAAUUUGAUGCCACAGGUUAAUAAUCUUUCUAUCUGACUCCACUGAUGCAUGGCCACUCAGUCAACGCUGCAGCUUUGUUUUUAUUGGAGGGGUGGGUAACCCGAUUUCCAAGGAGACUGUUUCCAAAGCAAAACACUGAGUGAAAGCACUGGUUCAUCUGGGUUUAAUCUUUAACUGGUGGCUUUAAGGAUAAAUGCAAAACUCAGAUUUUUUCUUUAUUUUAAUUUGAAACGGAUAUCUGCUUUAAAGUAAUGUUCUUAAAGGUUUAAGAGUUUGGGAAGUUUCAGCACGCAAAGCCUGGGCCCAGGUGUUCGAGCACAACACUACAAGACCUAAAGAUGAGACUGCCACCUAUCUCUACAACUCCCACAACCAUCUGUGUGUCCCAUGACACUCCGAGCCUUGCAGUCACUCCUAUUGCGUUUCCAAUCCUGCUGGACCCCGGCCAUCUACUGAAAAGCAUGCAGAGUAUUCCCAGAUUGGAUCCUUUGCACCCACCUUUGGUCCCUAAACGCACAGUCAGUCUUGAGACCCCCGCCGUUCACCAUCACAACCACCAGAGGGCACUGAUCAUGCAAAGAGGAGAGCAUUUCAGUAAGAUGGGAUCCUGGUCACUGAGCUGAAGCUGUCGUAUCAGGUGUCAUCAGGUGUGGAGGAAACCCUUUUAUGGGACCGCCAGUGAGAGAGAAGAGUACAGAAAGGAGAUACGAGAGCAGCUAAAGAGGCAGAUGGAGGAGAAGUGCAUCAAUCUGAAGCUGCAGCUGUCCAAUCAAGUUAAAGAAGCAGCUCACCUCAGAGAGGUGGACCGCCUUGCCCUAACCAGUGAGAGACAGCAGAGGAUUCAGCACACCAAAGCCAUGACAGCCUACAGAGAUGAGAACAAGAGGCUAAUGGAGCAGAGCUGGAGGGACAGAGCACUAACCCGUUCCCAGGAGGCCCUGAAGGAGAGAGAGCUGCUGCGCCUCAAUCCCAUUAACUGGAGUGCAACACUGACAUAACUCCUAGCAGCUAAAACUUGCAUUUCAGGCUUCACCCACUCACUGAGGAGAAACGCCUGCCUCAGUUUAAAUUAACCCUUUUUUUGUUAUCAUUACACAACCGCCGCAUUUAAUGUAUUUUAUGUGGUAGACCAACACAAAGCAUAUGUGAAGAAAAUCAGAAAAACAUGUUUUUUUUAUAUUUUUUUUAUGUUGUUCCAGAGUUUAUUCCCAUUCUGCUUCUAAUGUAGACAUGCAUUUCAAUAAAUUAGAUUAUGAGCAA